GGCCCCAUCGUCUAGCGGCCUAGGAUACUGGCCUCUCACGCCAGAGACCGGGGUUCGAGUCCCCGUGGGGCCGCCA
rnacentral:tRNA from 1 species